GACGAACGCUGGCGGCGUGCCUAAUACAUGCAAGUAGAACGCUGAAGGAGGAGCUUGCUUCUCCGGAUGAGUUGCGAACGGGUGAGUAACGCGUAGGUAACCUGCCUGGUAGCGGGGGAUAACUAUUGGAAACGAUAGAUAAUACCGCAUAACAGUAGAUGUUGCAUGACAUUUGCUUAAAAGGUGCAAUUGCAUCACUACCAGAUGGACCUGCGUUGUAUUAGCUAGUUGGUGAGGUAACGGCUCACCAAGGCGACGAUACAUAGCCGACCUGAGAGGGGGGACCGCCACACUGGGACUGAGACCCGGCCCAGGCUCCUUCGGGAGGCAGCAGUAGGGGAUCUUCGGCCAUGGACGGAAGUCUGACCGCGCAACGCCGCGUGAGUGGAGAAGGGUUUCGGAUCGUAAAGCUCUGUUGUUAGGGAAGAACGAGUGUGAGAGUGGAACGUUCACACUGUGACGGUACCUGACGAGAAAGCACCGGCUAACUACGUG
rnacentral:rRNA from 1 species